CCUACGGGGGGCAGCAGUGAGGAAUAUUGGUCAAUGGUCGGGAGACUGAACCAGCCAAGCCGCGUGAGGGAGGAAGGUACAGAGUAUCGUAAACCUCUUUUGUCAGGGAACAAAGGCGGGGACGUGUCCCCGGAUGAGUGUACCUGAAGAAAAAGCAUCGGCUAACUCCGGGCCAGCAGCCGCGGUAAUACGGAGGAUGCGAGCGUUAUCCGGAUUUAUUGGGUUUAAAGGGUGGGCAGGCGGUUUUUUAAGUCAGGGGUGAAAGCCCGGGGCUCAACCGCAGCCCGGCCGUGGAAACUGGCAGUCUCGAGUUGGAGAGAGGUAUGCGGAAUGCGCGGUGUAGCGGUGAAAUGCAUAGAUAUAGCGCAGAACUCCGAUUGCGAAGGCAGCAUGCCGGCUCCACACUGACGCUGAGGCACGAAAGCGUGGGUAUCGAACAGGAUUAGAUACCCUUGUAGUC
rnacentral:rRNA from 1 species